GUAUAGUAGUGGAAUGGAAGCG
rnacentral:miRNA from 1 species